CUAGCGACUUCAGAGUUUGAUCCUGGCUCAGGAUGAACGCUGGCGGCGUGCCUAACACAUUCAAGUCGAACGGAGUUAAUUGGAAAGCUUGCUUUUCGAUUAACUUAGUGGCGGACGGGUGAGUAACGCGUGAGCAACCUGCCUUUGUAUGGGGGAUAACACAGGGAAACUUGUGCUAAUACCGCAUAACGUAUACUGAUCGCAUGUUUGGUAUACCAAAGAUUUAUUGUACAAAGAUGGGCUCGCGUCUGAUUAGAUAGUUGGUGGGGUAACGGCCUACCAAGUCGACGAUCAGUAGCCGGACUGAGAGGUUGAACGGCCACAUUGGAACUGAGAUACGGUCCAG
rnacentral:rRNA from 1 species